rnacentral:tRNA from 2 species
GCCCGAGUGGUGAAAUUGGUAGACACAAGGGACUUAAAAUCCCUCGACUUAAUCGUCGUACCGGUUCAAUUCCGGUCUCGGGCACCA